AACGCACAUUGCGCCCGCUAGUAUUCUGGCGGGCAUGCCUGUUCGAGCGUCAUUUCAACCAUCAAGCCCCUGUGCUUGUGCUGGAGCCCUGCGGCUGCCGCAGGCUCCCAAACCCAGUGGCGGGCUCGUCGUCGUACCGAGUGCAGUAAACUUACCACGCUCAGGGCACGCGACGGGUGACCGGCCGUAAAACCCCCUACUUCUCAAAGGUUGACCUCGGAUCAGGUAGGAAUACCCGCUGAACUUAA
rnacentral:misc_RNA from 1 species